rnacentral:rRNA from 1 species
AUUGAACGCUGGCGGCAGGCCUAACACAUGCAAGUCGAACGAGUGGCGGACGUGUGAGUAAUGUCUGGGAAACUGCCUGAUGGAUGGGGAUCACUACUGGAAACGGUAGCUAAUACCGCAUACCAUCGGAUGUGCCCAGAUGGGAUUAGCUAGUAGGUGGGGUAACGGGUCACCUAGGCGACGAUCCCUAGCUGGUCUGAGAGGAUGACCAGCCAAACUGGAAAUGGGACACGGUCCAGACUCCUACGUGAGGCAGCAGUGGGGAAUAGUGCACAAUGGGCGCAAGCCUGAUGCAGCCAUGCCGCGUGUAUGAAGAAGGCCGUCGGGUUGUAAAGUACUUUCAGCGGGGAGGCGUUACCCGCAGAAGAAGCACCGGCUAACUCCGUGCCAGCAGCCGCGGUAAUAC